CAGCCUGAGAUUCCAGUUAUUCCACACUUGCCAGACCACGUGCACAAGGACAGUCGCCUAGGAGGAAACAAGUCCAUGUCUUAUUGGCUUGAGAGCAUUACCCCUUACGUUGACGAAUGGACUACCGCUGCGACAAAUAUCUGGGGUGAGGUUUGGCCCUUUAACUGGGAAAUGUUUGGGUUGUAUCUGCAGCGUUACCGGCAUACAACGAGGAUCUACUUGGUUCCAUUAGCUGCUCCUGAUCAGAUCGAAGCCCCUCUCACCAGCGAUAUGUACCCAACUGCCUCUGUUGUGGGAACCAGACACCACGCGGGUGACUUGACACUACAGGCGCGAGAGGAGGUUU